UCCCUAGUGGCUCAGAUGGUAAAGCGUCUGCCUACAAUGCAGGAGACCCAGGUUCGAUCCCUGGGUCAGGAA
rnacentral:tRNA from 1 species